CUGCCGCGUGUGUGAAGAAGGCCUUCGGGUUGUAAAGCACUUUCAGUUGUGAGGAAAAGUUAGUAGUUAAUACCUGCUAGCCGUGACGUUAACAACAGAAGAAGCACCGGCUAACUCCGUGCCAGCAGCCGCGGUAAUACGGAGGGUGCGAGCGUUAAUCGGAAUUACUGGGCGUAAAGCGCACGCAGGCGGUUUGUUAAGCUAGAUGUGAAAGCCCCGGGCUCAACCUGGGAUGGUCAUUUAGAACUGGCAGACUAGAGUCUUGGAGAGGGGAGUGGAAUUCCAGGUGUAGCGGUGAAAUGCGUAGAUAUCUGGAGGAACAUCAGUGGCGAAGGCGACUCCCUGGCCAAAGACUGACGCUCAUGUGCGAAAGUGUGGGUAGCGAACAGGAUUAGAUACCCUGGUAGUCCACACCGUAAACGCUGUCUACUAGCUGUGUGUGCCUUUAAGGCGUGCGUAGCGAAGCUAACGCGCUAAGUAGACCGCCUGGGGAGUACGGCCGCAAGGUUAAAACUCAAAUGAAUUGACGGGGGCCCGCACAAGCGGUGGAGCAUGUGGUUUAAUUCGAUGCAACGCGAAGAACCUUACCUACACUUGACAUGCUGGACGGGGGCCCGCACAAGCGGUGGAGCAUGUGGUUUAAUUCGAUGCAACGCGAAGAACCUUACCUACACUUGACAUGCUG
rnacentral:rRNA from 1 species